UCCUACGGGAGGCAGCAGUGGGGAAUUUUCCGCAAUGGGCGAAAGCCUGACGGAGCAAUACCGCGUGAGGGAAGACUGCCUAUGGGUUGUAAACCUCUUUUUUCAGGGAGGAAUCAAUGACGUGUACCUGAAGAAUAAGCAUCGGCUAACUCCGUGCCAGCAGCCGUGGUAAGACGGAGGAUGCAAGUGUUAUCCGGAAUCACUGGGCGUAAAGCGUCUGUAGGUGGUUUAAUAAGUCAACUGUUAAAUCUUGAGGCUCAACUUCAAAAUCGCAGUCGAAACUAUUAGACUAGAGUAUAGUAGAGGUAAAGGGAAUUUCCAGUGGAGCGGUGAAAUGCGUAGAUAUUGGAAAGAACACCGAUGGCGAAAGCACUUUACUGGGCUACUACUAACACUCAGAGACGAAAGCUAGGGUAGCAAAUGGGAUUAGAUACCCCAAUAGUCCUAGCCGUAAACAAUGGAUACUAGAUGUUGAACAGAUCGACCUGUGCAGUAUCAAAGCUAACGCGUUAAGUAUCCCGCCUGGGAAGUAUGCUCGCAAGAGUGAAACUCAAAGGAAUUGACGGA
rnacentral:rRNA from 1 species